rnacentral:rRNA from 1 species
GACGAACGCUGGCGGCGUGCUUAACACAUGCAAGUCGAACGAAGUGGCGAACGGGUGAGUAACGCGUAAUCAACCUGCCCUUCAGAGGGGGACAACAGUUGGAAACGACUGCUAAUACCGCAUACUGAAGGAGGGGGUUGCGUGUGAUUAGCGAGUUGGCGGGGUAACGGCCCACAAAGGCGAGGAUCAGUAGCCGGUCAGGGAGGAAGAACGGCCACAUUUGGACUGGGACACGGCCCAGACUCCUACGGGAGGCAGCAGUGGGGAAUCUUCCGCAAUGGACGAAAGUCUGACGGAGCAACGCCGCGUGAGUGAUGACGGCCUUCGGGUUGUAGAGCUCUGUUAAUCGGGACGCGGUACCGGAAUAGAAAGCCACGGCUAACUACGUGCCAGCAGCCGCGGUAAUUUC